GGUGGGGCAUGCAGGUAGGCUGCAGAAGACAAUACAGUGGUAUAGAACAACACGGGUGGGGCAUGCAGGUAGGCUGUAAAAGACAAUACAGUGGUAUAGAACAACACGGGUGGGGCAUGCAGGUGGGCUGCAGAAGACAAUACAGUGGUAUAGAACAACACGGGUGGGGCAUGCAGGUGGGCUGCAGAAGACAAUACAGUGGUAUAGAACAACACGGGUGGGGCAUGCAGGUGGGCUGCAGAAGACAAUACAGUGGUAUAGAACAACACGGGUGGGGCAUGCAGGUGGGCUGCAGAAGACAAUACAGUGGUAUAGAA
ensembl:lncRNA